AUUGAACGCUGGCGGCAGGCCUAACACAUGCAAGUCGAGCGGAUGAAGGGAGCUUGCUCCUGGAUUCAGCGGCGGACGGGUGAGUAAUGCCUAGGAAUCUGCCUGGUAGUGGGGGAUAACGUCCGGAAACGGGCGCUAAUACCGCAUACGUCCUGAGGGAGAAAGUGGGGGAUCUUCGGACCUCACGCUAUCAGAUGAGCCUAGGUCGGAUUAGCUAGUUGGUGGGGUAAAGGCCUACCAAGGCGACGAUCCGUAACUGGUCUGAGAGGAUGAUCAGUCACACUGGAACUGAGACACGGUCCAGACUCCUACGGGAGGCAGCAGUGGGGAAUAUAGGACAAUGGGCGAAGGCCUGAUCCAGCCAUGCCGCGUGUGUGAAGAAGGUCUUCGGAUUGUAAAGCACUUUAAGUUGGGAGGAAGGGCAGUAAGUUAAUACCUUGCUGUUUUGACGUUACCAACAGAAUAAGCACCGGCUAACUUCGUG
rnacentral:rRNA from 1 species